rnacentral:lncRNA from 1 species
UGGGAAUGGAAACAAAGCAUCCUGAAACACUAAAGCCAAAUAACAUGACGAUGAUGAUAAGAUAAUAGAAAGGCCAAUGGCAUUGCAAACGUUGCCACUAACAGUAACCCCAACACCACCACCUUCAUUUCCUUCUUCAUCUUCUUCAUCUUUAUCUUAUCUUCACACCUUCCACCACCACAACUCACAAACACUCUUUCUCAAUGGACCACCAUCACUCUCAACUCUCCACCACCGCAGAACAAUCUCAACCUUCCUUCCCUCGGUAGGAAGAAACGAACACAAUGAUUUGAGUGUCUCUUCCUCUCAGCAAGAACAGCUACAAGAUGUUGUUGAUGAUAAUGAUGAUGAUGAUGAUGAUUAUGAUUAUGAUGAACCAACCCCUCAGGACCUUGAAUAU